rnacentral:rRNA from 1 species
GUUACAGCCGCCGCGGUAAUACGGGGGGAGCAAGCGUUGUUCGGAUUUACUGGGCGUAAAGGGCGCGUAGGCGGCCACCGCAAGUCGACUGUGAAAUCUCUGGGCUUAACCCAGAACGGUCAGCCGAUACUGCGGGGCUAGAGUGCAGAAGGGGCAACUGGAAUUCUCGGUGUAGCGGUGAAAUGCGUAGAUAUCGAGAGGAACACCUGCGGCGAAGGCGGGUUGCUGGGCUGACACUGACGCUGAGGCGCGAAAGCUAGGGGAGCGAACGGGAUUAGAAACCCGGGUAGUCC